rnacentral:rRNA from 1 species
UUGAGUUUGAUGAUGGCUCUGAUUGAACGCUGUCCAAAUGCUUGACACAUGCUAAUCGUACGACAAACUUUUAAAUUACAGUUUGUAGUGGUGAACAGGUGAGUAAGCGGUAAUUGUACUGCCUUAAAGUAAGGAUUAAAAUCCCUUAUAUGUCGAAAUCUAAGAUAAAGAAAAUUAUAUUCGCUUUAAGAUGUAUUUUUACCCCGGGAAAGUAGUAGUUAAGGUAAUUGCUUAACUAGCGUGAAUCCCGUAGUCGAAACUGAGAGGUUGAUCGACCACAUUGGGUCUGAAAAAACCCCAAUACGAAUAGUGCAGCAGUGAGGAAUUUUGGUCAAUGGCCUAACGGCUGAACCAGCAAUUUGGGUGAACGGAAAAGCAUUUUUGUAAAAUGUAGUUUUUUCUGGCUUUACGGCCAGCUAUCUUUAAUAGAGCCGGUGUUCUAUGGGUAGAAAAGUUAAUACUUUUUUUGAAAGCUUCGGCUUUUAGUGAUUUAUUCGCAUAAAGUUCUAUAUAGAAUACAGAUAAUGACUAUUUUCUAUAUAAAAGUCUUGACCAAAACACGUGCCAGCAGUCGCGGCAACACGGGACAGACUAGUGUUAUUCAUCUUUAAUAGGUUUAAAGGGUACCUAGACGGCAAAUGUCACCCCCAUAUUAGGAAUGGUACGUUUUUGCUAGAGUUUUAUAUGAGAGGUUUUUAGUACUAGCGGAGUAGAGAUGAAAUUCUUUGAUACUGUAGGGCACUGAUAACGGCGAAGGCAGACCUUUAUGUAAAAACUGACGUUGAGGGACGAAGGCUUGGGUAACAAACAGGAUUAGGUACCCUAAUAGUCCAAGCAGAGAAUGAUGAGUGUCAUAGACUAGAUAUAUUUUUGGUUUAUAAAUGAAAGUGCAAACACUCCACCUUAAGAGUAAUGCGGCAACGCAGGAACUGAAAUCAUUAGACCGUUUCUGAUACCAGUAGUGAAGUAUGUUGUUUAAUUCGAUGAUCCACGAAAAAUCUUACCACAAUUUGAAUAUUAUAGCAACAUAUGGAAAGUCAUAUUUUUUUGAAGAAAUUGCUAUUAAUACAGGUGCUGCAUGGCUGUCUUCAGUUGGUGUCGUGAGAUGCAGGUUAGAUCCGGUAAUCAACGUAUAACCCUUAUUUUAUUUUUAUAAAUAGAGUAGCUUCUUCUGAGAUAUUGGGAGAUAAAUGGGACCAAGACAAGUCCUCAUGGCCCUAAUAUUGUGGGCAAUAGACGUGCCACAUAUACCUUGACAAAGGGGUGCUAUAAUGUGAAUAUUAAGCUAAUCUCUAAAAAUUGGUUAAAAUAAGGAUUGUAGUCUGAAACUCGACUACAUGAAUAAGGAAUUACUAGUAAUCGUGAAUCACCAUGUCACGGUGAAUAUUAUCUCAGACAGGUACUAACCACUCGUCACAUGCCGAAAGGAGUAUGUGCAAUAAGUUUGGUUACUAUUAGCUUAUCCAAGAGAUUUAAACGAAUCUCUAUAUGUUAAUAAAUAAUCUUCGUAUGCGUGACUCUGAUUGGUGUUAAGUCGAAAUACGGUUCGUGUAGUGGAAAUUGCACGGGAUUAAUAAAAGUUAAAA